AGCGAACGCUGGCGGCAGGCCUAACACAUGCAAGUCGAACGAACUCUUCGGAGUUAGUGGCGGACGGGUGAGUAACACGUGGGAACGUGCCUUUAGGUUCGGAAUAACUCAGGGAAACUUGUGCUAAUACCGAAUGUGCCCUUCGGGGGAAAGAUUUAUCGCCUUUAGAGCGGCCCGCGUCUGAUUAGCUAGUUGGUGGGGUAAUGGCCCACCAAGGCGACGAUCAGUGGAUGGUCUGGAAGGAUGCCCAGCCACAUUGGGACUAGGAAACGGCACAAACUCCUACGGGAGGCAGCAGGGGGGAAUCUGGCGAAAUGGGCUAAAGCCGGACGCAGCCAUGCCGCGUGGAUAAUGAAGGUCUUAGGAUUUUAAAAUCCUUUCACCGGUAAAGAGAAUGACUGUAGCCGGAGAAGAAGCCCCGACUAACUUCGUGCCAGCAGCCGCGGUAAUAC
rnacentral:rRNA from 1 species